GUGAGGAAUAUUGGUCAAUGGACGAGAGUCUGAACCAGCCAAGUCGCGUGAAGGAAGACGGUUCUAUGAAUUGUAAACUUCUUUUGUGCAGGAAUAAAGUGGGUUACGUGUAACCUUUUGUAUGUACUGUACGAAUAAGGAUCGGCUAACUCCGUGCCAGCAGCCGCGGUAAUACGGAGGAUCCAAGCGUUAUCCGGAUUUAUUGGGUUUAAAGGGUGCGCAGGCGGGUUGAUAAGUCAGCGGUGAAAGUUUGCAGCUUAACUGUAAAAUUGCCGUUGAAACUGUCGAUCUUGAGUGCAAAUGAGGUAAGCGGAAUGUGUUGUGUAGCGGUGAAAUGCUUAGAUAUAACACAGAACACCGAUUGCGAAGGCAGCUUACUGGGAUGCAACUGACGCUCAUGCGCGAAAGCGUGGGGAUCAAACAGGAUUAGAAACCCGAGUAGUCC
rnacentral:rRNA from 1 species